rnacentral:rRNA from 1 species
GACGAACGCUGGCGGCGUGCUUAACACAUGCAAGUCGAACGGAAAGGCCCUGCUUGUGUGGGACGCGCGAGUGGAAAGGGGGUGUGUAACACGGGUGUAACCUGCCCUUGACUUGGGGAUAACUGGGGGACAGGGGGGCUUAUACGGGAGGGGAGCUCCUUCUGCUUGGGGGGGGAUGGAAAGUUUGGUCGGUGGGGGAUGGGCUCGCGGCUUAUCAGCUUGUUGGUGGGGUAGUGGCUUACCAAGGCUUUGACGGGUAGCCGGCCUGAGAGGGUGGACGGCCACAUUGGGACUGAGAUACGGCCCAGACUCCUACGGGAGGCAGCAGUGGGGAAUAUUGCACAAUGGGCGGAAGCCUGAUGCAGCAACGCCGCGUGGGGGAUGACGGCCUUCGGGUUGUAAACCGCUUUCGCCUGGGACGAAGCGUUUGUGACGGUACCUGGUAAAGAAGCACCGGCUAACUACGUG